rnacentral:rRNA from 1 species
CCCUUAGAUGUCCUGGGCUGCACGCGCGCUACACUGGAAGUUACGGAUUGAGAUACUACCUUGUCCGAAAUGGUCCGGGUAAUCACCUAAAAGCUUGUCAUAAUUGGAAUGGAUUAUUGUAACUAGUAAUCCUGAACGAGGAAUUCCUAGUAAGUCCCAGUCAACAGCUGGUACUGAUUACGACCCUGCCCUUUGUACACACCGCCCGUCGCUACUACUGAUUGGACGUUUAAGCAAGAUUUUUAAACACUGACAGUGUGUAGUUCACGCUAUACUACAGUGAGAAGAAGAAGAUCGAGCUUACUUGUCUAGAGGAAGUAAAAGUCGUAACA